AGGCUGCGAAAUGGAUCGGAAUUUUAUUGAGGGAUAACGAUUAUUCACAAGUUUUGAGGCUAAUUCCUGAAGAUAUUCCAUUCGUUUUCUCGACGUGAGGAUUAUUGAAAAAGGCUGUUAGAGGGUAAAAAAUGCGUUAGACAAUUCACGAUAAAACCAGAGGAUUAAAUUUUCUCAUAUCUCGAUCGAUGCAUUGUAACGUGGACUGCCCUGAACCACGAGGAUCUCGUCCACUUUUGAUUAAUUUUUUUAGUAUGCUCGCUAGGAGUAAACAAGCUCAAAUCGUUCUCGUCACGUCCAAUCCUUAAUUGUGUUAUAACGCCGAGAAACCUGGAUCUCUUACGAUUUGUUUCUCGUCGCAACAAAAUCAACGGUUUACCUCUGACCACGUCAGGCGGCAAUUCUUUGGGCUGGUUCUCUCGAAUGAUCAUCUCCGGCUUUCGAGGUCGCACUAAGAAGGAUUUACAAAAUGAAACGCAUUCGAGGAGAAGAGGAUUUCCAAUCUUGAGAAAAAAGAAUUCUCGUCGAAGUCUACUUUGGGUCUUACUAUCGAAACGGAGGUAAAUGAAAAUCGGCUAAUCGGAUAUGACCUCGUUGAAAAGUGCUCGAUCGCUUACCAGGUUGAUCCGAUUCCUCGACCGGUUUCGGUUGAAACAGCUCCUUAAAGUGGGCCUUGCAGUACAGCGUGCUUUCGUGGCUCUGAUAAUUGUCGACGCUCAGCUGUUUGCUGCACUGGACGCAUCGGAAGCAAUUUUUGUGCCAAACCAGGCCCUCGGCCUUUGUUUGUUCCAUUUGGAAUACGACCUUGCCGCAGCUGCGGCAGUUCGGAUUCGCGUCGCCAUUUUGGCCCACCUAGAAUUUCAAAGCACCGUGUUCAAUUCGUUUCUUCAAAAAAACGAGCUUUCAAAAUCAUAAAAAUCAUUAUUUUCGUUCUUUCGGUACUCAAAUAGCUAAAUAAUUUAACGAUUUAACGAAAUUAGUUUAAUUUUUCAAAUGACAAAAUGAUCAAGGUUCGUCCGAGUCAACGCAGAACAGCAUCGACAAGACAAUUUUUCGUUGUGUCACCGAAAUUUGGUCCUAAUUGAAAGUGCUGAGAAUUUGGGCAAUUUGCCCUUCGAAUAGAGUUGAAUUUAUUCCCCCGAGGUGGGGUCGAGAAGUGUUUCAACGUUAUGAGACGAUCGUUCAUUCGUUUUCGUACGAAUUGUUCGGUACUCCGAAUUCCAAGUGGAACGUACGCUUAAAAGAGAACGUAUGGACUAUAGAAAUGUGUCGCGGCGGUUGACGGAAGUAGUGCAAGAGGGUAUAUAAAUAAAAAUGACUGCGUACGUUACGUCACAUGGUAAAAGAAACGAUGCUCCGCACCGGCGUGACGGCCUGAUUUGUAUAAAGAAGUCGGUUUAUCCCUGACACAUGAAAAAAGCGUAUAAAAAAUUCGUUCUUUCUUCGUUUUCCUCUGGAAUGAAAAUAUGUGAGAGUUAAUGAAAAUGACGUUUCCGAAGGAAUGUUUAAACUCAAGCAACUACCCUCAGCUACGUCUACUCAUCAUACAAAGAGACAUCGCAAAGAAAUUCAUUCCGAAUCUAGUGCAAGUGCGAAUGAUUGAGGGAAAAUAAAAAUUGUGAAGAACGAUGAGAAUAAUUGUACUCACGGAAUUCAGUUGUUGCUGGACCUUGGCCGGAUCGGAGGAGCGCACGUGGAGCACCGACUUCUUACUGAGGGCGUCAAAUUUGUUGAAGCUCGAUUUCUGUAAAUUAUAGACAAAUUUUUCUUUCACAUUUUCGUACUUACUUCGACGCUGCGCACGAGGAUUAUAAGCCGCGUCGAUCCGUUGUUCAAAUUAUUCCGCAAUGUUUGGGCGAGCACGACAAAUGGGAGUGGAAUGACAAAUGGUUUUCUAACGGACGGAUCGACUUUUCGUAAAUCGCGAAUCGAUAAACGUGACUGCUGCACUUGACAUUCAUCCAUUUCCAUGGCAAAUUGCCAACGGAGCGCAUGCGCCGCGCGAAUCAAACAGAGAUACGAAAAAAUCGCUCUUAUCGCGAACGCCGUUUGUACCGGGAACUCACCCAUUUUUCCCCUCCCAACGCCUUCGAUUUCAUAAAUUAUUUGUAAUCUUGACGUCUCUUCGGUACAAAGGCGACGUUUUCUCAUUCGAAAGAAAAAAAUAGACGCGGAGAUGCCAACUGACACGCCGAACAACGAUAUUUUCAUUACGAAUUUCCCGCUCUCCGCCUUACCUCGAACUUGAGUAGUCGAUUCGCGUGGGAACGAUCCUGAAUUUCCUCGUCAAGGCCUCUUGUUAAAUUUGCCAAACUACAGUAGGAAGCCCUCUGUCCAUUUUCGUGCCACCGAUUGUCGGUAUAUCGAGGCAAUUUUUGGCGAUAUGGUUAGGAGAAUUUUGUUUGUUUUCAAUGUUUUUGUUUUCAUGCACGGAUCCCAUGGAAUUAAACAAAAGAUAGAAAAAUGAUAUGCGUGUUAGUUAUCGAACGAGGAAAUAAAACAAUGAAAAAGCACUACGGAACUUUGGUGACGCCGCAUGCUCGCCGGAUACGAGAACUCGGUGAUUGACCACUCGCACGCGAAAAGUCUCAAUUACAAAUAAACGCGACAAUUUAAUCAAGAUUAUAUUCAAAUUCAUUGAUUGCACAAAUCGUCAAUUCGAUCAGUUCGAAUUGCGAGCAAAUCGAUUGUUCUUUCGAGAAUCUUUUCACUAUUUUUCGAGAUCGGUGCAAAAUGUUAGUUGAGCGGAGACAAAUGUUAAAAUAAUUUUCAUCUUUCACAGCGUUCUCGAGCGGCUCGAGGCGAUCGGGGACAAGGGAGACGUUUUUCAUUCUUCGAGUCCCGCAUUCACUGCGAGCUUCUCACUAUUUCGACGUUGAAUCGUUCCAAGCGCGGUGCAUUCGAAGAUCGAGUGGAAGCAAUUUGAACGAACGAAGCUCGAAAUAUGAAAUUUUUUUUAAAUAAAUAAAUAAAUAAAAUGGAAUAAAAGAAAAAAUAACGAAGAAAAUAAUAUGGAAAUUAUAAAAAUAUGAAAAUGAUGAAAAAAUUAAUUGAAAAACAGCCCCCUCGCUACGAACGCCACGCGUCGAUAUCAUGCCGCAGGACUACUUACGAGGGCUUUGACGGACACACCGACGAAUACGGUUGCUUCUUUGGCGAGCUUCGAAUAAUCCCUCUGGCAUAGUCUCAAGUCGUCCAUAGACUUUGCCUUCUACGAUUAUGCACACACACGCACGCACACCGCCAUAAGUAGCCCGAUAGUUAGAUUGUUAAAAUUAAAGUUCGAAGAGCAGAAAUUAAUCAAACUGGAUACGAUUUGUUAGGGUUUAUGAUAACGAAUAAUCGAAAAAAAAAGUUUGUAAAAGGAAAACAAAUAAAGAUAAAAUCAAUGGAGCAGCACGUA